AGAGUGAUUUUAAUCAUAUUCCUCGGAUAAAUUAAAAUUUAUAAUAUGGAUAAAAUUAAAUAAUUAACCCUGCAACGGGACUCAUGGGUCAUUCGUUGUUUUGAAAAUGUGAAUUCCUGGGAAAACAGUUAGGCUCGGGCUUUUUGUUUUGGUAUGUAAAAAAAGUUUGGGGUGGGGAUGGAAUGUGGCCGCCAGCGCGCCGGAAUCCACCAGUGUACCUACGACUGGCAGCGAGAACAAAUCUCCGAACGACACGAGUGAUCCAUGAAUCCUACUAACGUUUGAAGUCGAUAAGUGCGCAAAUGAGUCUAAAAUAUGAAAAAAAUAUGAAAAUAUGAGUAAAAUAUAUGAGUCUAAAAUAGCGACAGAAUGCCAAAAAGAAAAAGGUGUCACUUCUGCCCAACCAAAACAGACAGGAAAACGUUCUUCUGCUGUUAUAAAUGCAAAGAACCGGUUUGUGACGAUCAUCGACUUGCGUGAUGCUGUCCAGAAUGCUCGUAAAAUUUCAAAUGAUGUAACAUUAUGUUAUUAAUUAUGUAAUUUUAUGUUAAUUUCAUAUAAAUGCCAAUACUUGACAACUUA